UUAUGGCUAUAUCACGUUGAAACACCGGUUCCCAUACGAUCAUCGAAGUUAAGCAAAUUGAGCGUAGUCAGUACCUAGAUGGGUGACCGCCUGGGAAUACCAGUGCUGUAAG